AUGCAAUCUACCCGCGGCUAGACGGAAAGACCCCAUGAACCUUUACUGUAGCUUUGCAUUGGACUUUGAAUCAAUCUGUGUAGGAUAGGUGGGAGGCUUUGAAGCGGACACGCCAGUGUUCGUGGAGCCAUCCUUGAAAUACCACCCUGGUUCAUUUGAGGUUCUAACCUUGGUCCGUUAUCCGGAUCGGGGACAGUGCAUGGUAGGCAGUUUGACUGGGGCGGUCUCCUCCCAAAGAGUAACGGAGGAGCACGAAGGUGUGCUAAUCAUGGUC
rnacentral:rRNA from 13 species